GACGAACGCUGGCGGCGUGCUUAACACAUGCAAGUCGAACGGAAAGGCCCUGCUUGCAGGGUACUCGAGUGGCGAGCGGGUGAGUAACACGUGGGUGAUCUGCCCUGCACUUCGGGAUAAGCCUGGGAAACUGGGUCUAAUACCGGAUAGGAGCCAUUUUUAGUGUGAUGGUUGGAAAGUUUUUUCGGUGUAGGAUGAGCUCGCGGCCUAUCAGCUUGUUGGUGGGGUAAUGGCCUACCAAGGCGGCGACGGGUAGCCGGCCUGAGAGGGUGGACGGCCACAUUGGGACUGAGAGACGGCCCAGACUCCUACGGGAGGCAGCAGGGGGGAAGAUUGCACAAUGGGCGCAAGCCUGAUGCAGCGACGCCGCGUGGGGGAUGACGGCCUUCGGGUUGUAAACUCCUUUCGCUAGGGACGAAGCUUUUUGUGACGGUACCUAGAUAAGAAGCACCGGCUAACUACGUG
rnacentral:rRNA from 1 species